rnacentral:rRNA from 1 species
UACGGAGGGUGCAAGCGUUGUCCGGAAUCACUGGGCGUAAAGGGCGCGUAGGCGGCCUGGUAAGUAGGGGGUGAAAUCCUGCGGCUUAACCGCAGGGCUGCCUUCUAAACUGUCAGGCUUGAGCACGGUAGAGGCAGAUGGAAUUCCUGGUGUAGCGGUGAAAUGCGCAGAUAUCAGGAGGAACACCAAUGGCGAAGGCAGCUCGCUGGGACGUGACUGACGCUGAGACGCGAAAGCGUGGGGAGCAAACAGG